UUUCCGUAGGUGAACCUGCGGAAGGAUCAUUAAAGUUAUAGUCCCCCGGCCCCUCCGGGCUGGGGUCUUCUAUACCACCCUUUGUUUAUUACACCUUUGUUGCUUUGGCAGGCCUGCCCUCGGGCUGCUGGCUCCGGCCGGCUCGUGCCUGCCAGAGGACCUAAACUCUGUUUGUAUAUGCAGUCUGAGUACUAUAUAAUAGUUAAAACUUUCAACAACGGAUCUCUUGGUUCUG
rnacentral:misc_RNA from 1 species